rnacentral:lncRNA from 1 species
AACAUCACGCACCAAAGGGAGGGUCUGACAUCUGACUGGAGUGGCUGCAGGAAAACGCUAUGGGAGCAGCUACCACUUUUGUGUAGAAGUCACUGGAGUACAGAACCACGUUGGCAACCUGCUCCACUGAAGUGAGGAAGAGAAAGAGGGACUAUCAGUUGUGCACAGCCAUCGGAAACAACACAGCUGUUCCACAGUCUCAGGAGUGGAAAACAUGAGGAGAACAGCAGGAAAACCCAUACGUUGAGAGCCUGAAGGGAGCACCAGGUCAGGCAGCCUGAUCGCAGACUUUGCCACCUGUGUCUCUGUCUUCCCUGAAAUGCAUCCAGCUUUGGUUUGGAGAUGACAGAAUGGUAUCCCUUAGGAGCCUGCUCUUCUCAUUACAAGGAUCUCCCUCUCUAAACAUGCCUGCUUUCACCUCUGGUGCACAAGAGGUGCUAUUUACAGCACCAUCAAGCAGACUGGAUACCAAACUGCAGCCAAGUUCCUCUGACAGCAUUCUCCAAACGAACACUAGAAAGCAUGUGGUGAUUUUGAUUCAAGAGAGAAUCUGAAAUAAGGUCUUUUUAAGCUACACUGAAGAAUGUCAGGUUAAAAAAUAUUCGGGAGUAACUAGAUAGUGCAUGCAAGAUAGGCACUGAAUCGGUUUUCUCCGCUGUAGAGUUUUAUGAAACCCUCAGCAACUUUGUUCCUUCCCUGCUUUCUUUUCUCUUUCUCAUCCUUUGUCUCAGACUGCCUUCCGCAGGCCCAAGCAGAACGGAGCUUGUGGGAUGAAAACACGCAGUGCUACAAAUAAAACGCAGGCAGUACCAAACCUCAGGCUCUGCCCUCAGCUCCC